AGAGUUUGAUCCUGGCUCAGGACGAACGCUGGCGGCGUGCUUAACACAUGCAAGUCGAACGGGAUCUGCGUGGCCUUUGUGGUUGUGUGGUGAGAGUGGCGAACGGGUGAGUAACACGUGAGUAACCUGCCUUUUUCUUUGGGAUAACGCUCAGAAAUGGGUGCUAAUACUGGAUGUUCUGCGCUUUCCGCAUGGGGGGUGUGGGAAAGGGGCCUUUGUGGUUUCUGGAGGGAGAUGGGCUCGCGGCUUAUCAGCUUGUUGGUGGGGUGAUGGCUUACCAAGGCUUUGACGGGUAGCCGGCCUGAGAGGGUGGGCGGUCACAUUGGGACUGAGAUACGGCCCAGACUCCUACGGGAGGCAGCAGUGGGGAAUUUUGCACAAUGGGGGGAACCUUGAUGCAGCGACGCCGCGUGAGGGAUGGAGGCCUUCGGGUUGUGAACCUCUUUCGCUCGUGUGCAAGCCGCUAUUUGGGUAGUGGUGAGUGUAGCGGGUAAAGAAGCGCCGGCUAACUACGUGCCAGCAGCCGCGGUAAUACGUAGGGCGCGAGCGUUGUCCGGAUUUAUUGGGCGUAAAGGGCUUGUAGGCGGUUUGUCGCGCCUGUCGUGUAAUCCUCUGGCUUAACUGGGGGUGUGCGGUGGGUACGGGCAGGCUUGAGUGCGGUAGGGGAGAUUGGAAUUCCUGGUGUAGCGGUGGAAUGCGCAGAUAUCAGGAGGAACACCGGUGGCGAAGGCGGGUCUCUGGGCCGUUACUGACGCUGAGGAGCGAAAGCGUGGGGAGCGAACAGGAUUAGAUACCCUGGUAGUCCAUGCUGUAAACGUUGGGCACUAGGUGUGGGGGCUGGUUUCAUGGUUUCCGCGCCGUAGCUAACGCAUUAAGUGCCCCGCCUGGGGAGUACGGCCGCAAG
rnacentral:rRNA from 1 species